rnacentral:rRNA from 1 species
UACGUAGGGUGCGAGCGUUGUCCGGAAUUAUUGGGCGUAAAGAGCUUGUAGGCGGUUUGUCGCGUCUGCCGUGAAAAUUCGAGGCUCAACCUCGAACUUGCGGUGGGUACGGGCAGACUAGAGUGUGGUAGGGGGAGACUGGAAUUCCUGGUGUAGCGGUGAAAAUGCGCAGAUAUCAGGAGGAACACCGAUGGCGAAGGCAGGUCUCUGGGCCACUACUGACGCUGAGGAGCGAAAAGCGUGGGGGAGCGAAACAGG